rnacentral:tRNA from 1 species
CAGAAGAUAGUUUAAAAAAAAUUUUAAUUUUGGAGAUUAAGAAUAAGAAUAUUUUCUUUCUUCUGA